UGGCGGACGGGGGAGUAAUGUCUGGGAAACUACCUGAUGGAGGGGGAUAACUACUGGAAACGGUAGCUAAUACCGCAUAACGUCGCAAGACCAAAGAGGGGGACCUUAGGGCCUCUUGCCAUCGGAUGUGCCCAGAUGGGAUUAGCUAGUAGGUGGGGUAAAGGCUCACCUAGGCGACGAUCCCUAGCUGGUCUGAGAGGAUGACCAGCCACACUGGAACUGAGACACGGUCCAG
rnacentral:rRNA from 1 species